rnacentral:rRNA from 1 species
CAUGUGGUUUAAUUCGAUGCAACGACGUAAAACCUUACCUACCCUUGACAUGUCCGGAAUCCCGAAGAGAUUUGGAGUGCUCGCAAGAGAACCGGAACACAGGUGCUGCAUGGCUGUCGUCAGCUCGUGUCGUGAGAUGUUGGGUUAAGUCCCGCAACGAGCGCAACCCUUGUCAUUAGUUGCCAUCAUUUGGUUGGGCACUCUAAUGAGACUGCCGGUGACAAACCGGAGGAAGGUGGGGAUGACGUCAAGUCCUCAUGGCCCUUAUGGGUAGGGCUUCACACGUCAUACAAUGGUCGGUACAGAGGGUUGCCAACCCGCGAGGGGGAGCUAAUCCCACAAAGCCGAUCGUAGUCCGGAUCGCAGUCUGCAACUCGACUGCGUGAAGUCGGAAUCGCUAGUAAUCGUGGAUCAGCAUGUCACGGUGAAUACGUUCCCGGGUCUU